GGGGUUGUGGCUCAGUGGUAGAGCACGCACCUUGCAUAUGUGAGGCACUGGGUUUGAUCCCCAGCACCACA
rnacentral:tRNA from 1 species